CUUCAUUCCACUAAGUUUUCUUUAAAUAUUGAAUCCCUUAGUUGAAAUCCUGGCUCCGCCUUAUAACACUCCGUCAUCAAACACCAAUAAUGUUUCAUUCAACACCUGUAAUGUUUCAUUCAAUAUAUACAAAGGUUUUGUGAAUGUCUACAAUUCAUAUGUAAAUUUGAAGCCAAAGUGAGAAAAAUGAAAGUAGCAGCGAUAGGUGCAGGGAUAAGUGGACUGGUUGCUGCAUAUGAAUUGGCAAAAUCUGGUUUAGAAGUUGAGGUGUAUGAAAAGGAGGAUUUUCUUGGUGGCCAUGCUAACAUUGUCACCAUUGAUGGCGUUGACAUUGAUCUUGGCUUUAUGGUCUUCAAUUCGUUGUAAACAUGAAAGUAGCAGUGGUGGGUGCAAGGAUAAGUGGACUGGUUUCUGCAUAUGAAUUGGCAAAAUCUGGUGUUAAUGUUGUGGUUUAUGAAAAGAAGGAUUAUGUUGGUGGCCAUGCUAAGAUUGUCGCCAUCGAUGGCGUUGACAUUGAUCUUGGCUUUAUGGUCUUCAAUUGGUUACCUUGAAGAACUGCAGAACAAUCCUGACAUUGAUCACAAUGAAACAUUGGGGCAAUUUAUUGAGUCACAUGGCUAUUCGGAGUUAUUUCAGAAGGCUUAU